rnacentral:tRNA from 1 species
GCGCCUAUAGCUCAGGUGGUUAGAGCACCGCUCUUAUAAAGCGGGGGUCGAUGGUUCAAGUCCAUCUAGGCGCACUA